UGGAAUAAACCAGGGAAACUUGGGUAAUACCGGAUAACGCCUUUCGGGGGAAAGAUUCAUUGCCGAAAGAUCGGCCCGCGUCGGAUUAGCUAGUUGGUGGGGUAAUGGCUCACCAAGGCGACGAUCCGUAGCUGGUCUGAGAGGAUGACCAGCCACACUGGGACUGAGACACGGCCCAGACUCCUACGGGAGGCAGCAGUGGGGAAUAUUGGACAAUGGGCGAAAGCCUGAUCCAGCCAUGCCGCGUGGGUGAAGAAGGCCCUAGGGUUGUAAAGCUCUUUUGUGCGGGAAGAUAAUGACGGUACCGCAAG
rnacentral:rRNA from 1 species